rnacentral:misc_RNA from 1 species
UAGAGAAUGAGCUGGAAUUGGUUGCAAUUGGUUAGGCUGUUUGUUAGAGCCUAUAGUAUAAAUAAUUGUAAUCCCUACUCUUUUGAGUGUGAAAUGAAUGGGAAUUCUCUCUCCCCCUUGAAUUUCUCUUCUUUUCUGUGAGCCUCUCUCUUUCUUCCCUGCUGUUUUCUUCUAUUUCUUCUUUAAAAUAACUCAAAUCAUAACAAAUUAGGUCGAUGUUGAAAAGCUGAGCGAGAAUAUGUGUCACUGCUAAAACAUUGAGUAAGGAUAUGGGUCUCAGCAAUCGGUAAGUGGGUGCAGCUGAUCAAAAAAAGAAGGAACGGUUCAUGGUUUUCUGAA